CUUGGUCAUUUAGAGGAAGUAAAAGUCGUAACAAGGUUUCCGUAGGUGAACCUGCGGAAGGAUCAUUCAUAAUAAAGUGUUUUAUGGCACUUUUUUAAAAAAUCCAUAUCCACCUUGUGUGCAAUGUUUUUUAGAUCUAGCCAAAAUGAUAUUUUGGUUAGGUUUUAUUAUAUUACAUCAACUCUUAUUUAACUUGAUUUGUCUGAAAAAUAUUAUGAAUUUUUUAACUUAAUUCAAAAUACAACUUUCAACAACGGAUCUCUUGGCUCUCGCAUCGAUGAAGAACGCAGCGAAAUGCGAUACGUAAUGUGAAUUGCAGAAUUCAGUGAAUCAUCGAAUCUUUGAACGCAUAUUGCGCUCUCUGGUAUUCCGGAGAGCAUGCUUGUUUGAGUAUCAGUAAACACCUCAAUUUCAUGAUUCUUAAUUUUGAAAUUGGACUUGAGCAGAUCCCAACGUACAUUUAAUUAUAUGGAGGGUUGCUUCAAAUGCAGGUGCAGCCGAUCAUUCUUCUGGGCUAAAAGCAUUAUCUAGUUAAUCCCGUAAAACGGAUUAUUCACUUUAUUGCUGCAGCUUACCUUUAUAAAAGGAAGAAAUGGCCAUUGUGCUGACUGAUGCAGGAAUUCUCAGAGGUCUGUAAGGACUUUUGAAAACUCGAUCUCAAAUCAAGUAAGACUACCCGCUGAACUUAAGCAUAUCAAUAAGCGGAGGA
rnacentral:rRNA from 1 species